rnacentral:rRNA from 1 species
AUUGUACGCUGGCGGCAGGCCUAACACAUGCAAGUCGAGCGGGGUUUUCGGACCUAGCGGCGGACGGGUGAGUAAUGCGUAGGAAGCUGCCCGAUAGAGGGGGAUACCAGUUGGAAACGACUGUUAAUACCGCAUAAUGUCUACGGACCAAAGUGUGGGACCUUCGGGCCACAUGCUAUCGGAUGCGCCUACGUGGGAUUAGCUAGUUGGUGAGGUAAUGGCUCACCAAGGCGACGAUCUCUAGCUGGUGUGAGAGGAUGAUCAGCCACACUGGAGCUGAGACACGAUCCAGACUCCUACGGGAGGCAGCAGUGGGGAAUAUUGGACAAUGGGCGCAAGCCUGAUCCAGCCAUGCCGCGUGUGUGAAGAAGGCCUUCGGGUUGUAAAGCACUUUCAGCGAGGAGGAAGGGUGGUGUGUUAAUAGCACAUCAUUUUGACGUUACUCGCAGAAGGAGCACCGGCUAACUCUGUGCCAGCCGCCGCUGUAAAAC